rnacentral:rRNA from 1 species
GUUAAACAUAAAGAGCGUAGGGUGGAUGCCUAGGCACUGACAGCCGAAGAAAGACGUGACAAGCUGCGAAAAGCUGCGGGGAGAAGCACAUAUUCAGUGAUCCGCAGAUGUCUGAAUGGGGAAACCCACUUGGAAGAACUCCAAGUAUCUGUACGCCAAUACAUAACGUACAGAGGGGAACCCGGUGAACUGAAACAUCUAAGUAGCCGGAGGAAAAGAAAACAACAGUGAUUGCGAAAGUAGCGGCGAGCGAAAUCGUAAGAGCCCAAACCGUGGUGCGUGCACUGCGGGGUAGAGGACUGCAAUACGAGUAAGAUAUAUUACCUGAACCGUUUUGGAAAAGCGGGCCAAAGAGCGUGAGAGCCGUGUAAGGGAAAAUGUAUUGAAUCCAGCAGUAUCCGGAGUACCACGAGACACGAGAAACCUUGUGGGAAGCAGGGGGGACCACCCCCCAAGGCUAAAUACUAGUCAGUGACCGAUAGCGUAUAGUACUGUGAAGGAAAGGUGAAAAGAACCCCGGGAGGGGAGUGAAAAAGAACCUGAAACCCUAUGUUUACAAACUGUGGAACACCGAAAGGUGAACCGCGUACUUUUUGUAGAACGGUCCGGCGAGUUACAUGUACAGGCGAGGUUAAGUAUUAAAGAUACGGAGCCGAAGGGAAACCAAGUCUUAAUAGGGCGAUAUUAGUCAGUAUGUGUAGACCCGAAACCGGGUGAUCUAUCCAUGUCCAGGUUGAAGUUCGCGUAAAAGUGAAUGGAGGACCGAACGCACAUCCGUUGAAAAGGGUGGCGAUGAGGUGUGGAUAGGGGAGAAAUUCCAAUCGAACCCGGAGAUAGCUGGUUCUCCUCGAAAUAGCUUUAGGGCUAGCCUCGACUUAGUCAGACGGAGGUAGAGCACUGAAUUCCUGAGGGGGCGUCAAAGCCUGCCAAGGGAUAUCAAACUGCGAAUGCCGUCCUGAUGAUGGUCGGGAGUCAGACUGCACGAGAUAAGUUGGGCAGUCAAAAGGGAAAGAGCCCAGACCUACGGCUAAGGUCCCAAAGUGUGUGUUAAGUGGAAAAGGAUGUGGGAUUUCGAAGACAGCUAGGAUGUUGGCUUAGAAGCAGCCAUACAUUAAAAGAGUGCGUAACAGCUCACUAGUCGAGAGGUCCUGCGCCGAAAAUGUCCGGGGCUAAACACAACACCGAAGCCUGGGAAUGUAGUAAUACAUUGGUAGAGGAGCAUUCUUAGAGGCGUAGAAGCCAUACCGGAAGGAAUGGUGGAGUAAUAAGAAGAGAGAAUGCCGGAAUGAGUAGCGAGAAAGAGGUGAGAAUCCUCUUGGCCGAAUAUCUAAGGUUUCCUGAGUAAAGCUGAUCUACUCAGGGUAAGUCGGGGCCUAAGGCAAGGUCGAAAGACGUAGUCGAUGGAUAACAGGUACAGAUUCCUGUACUACAUAUAAUCAGAACUGUGGGGACACGGAGACUAAAACCGAACCCGGGAGGACAAAAACCGGGGCAAGCGAAGUACCUGUAUGGGAGGAAAAACCACCAUACAAGGGGAAAACGUGAUGCGUACCGAAAAUUAGUAGGGAAGUCGGUUAGGGAGCCGUCAAGAAAAGCCGCUAUUGUGUUAUAUGUACCCGUACCGCAAACCGACACAGGUAGAUGAGGAGAGAAUCCUAAGGCCGGCGGGAGAAGCAUUGUUAAGGAACUCGGCAAAAUGACCCCGUAACUUCGGGAGAAGGGGUGCUGCAGAGAUGCAGCCGCAGAGAAAAGGCUCAAGCAACUGUUUAGCAAAAACACAGGUCUAUGCGAAACCGCAAGGUGAAGUAUAUGGGCUGACGCCUGCCCGGUGCCGGAAGGUUAAGAGGAGAAGUCAGGAAACGAAGCUUUGAAUUGAAGCCCCGGUAAACGGCGGCCGUAACUAUAACGGUCCUAAGGUAGCGAAAUUCCUUGUCGGGUAAGUUCCGACCCGCACGAAAGGCGUAAUGAUUUGAGCGCUGUCUCAACAAUGCACCCGGUGAAAUUGAAGUACCAGUGAAGAUGCUGGUUACCCGCGCCAGGACGGAAAGACCCCAUGGAGCUUUACUCCAGUUUGGUACUGGGAUUCGGUAAUACUCGUACAGGAUAGGUGGGAGACAUUGAAGCAUGGACGCCAGUUUAUGCAGAGUCGCCGUUGGGAUACCACCCCUGUAUUGCUGGAUUUCUAACCUGCAUCCGUAAUCCGGUUGGGGGACAAUGCCAGACGGGGAGUUUGACUGGGGCGGUC